AUGCAUUAGUGCUUACUGCAUACAAGGCACCGAGCAGGCCUUGUUCAAGGGAUUGGAGCAUGUUAAAGGGGGUCUGGAAGCACUACGGGAGAGGACUAACAUCAACCAACGGGUCAGGGUUACUAAACUGAGUCCGACUCUUUGUGACACCAUGGACCGUAGCACACCAGGCUCCACUGUCCUCCGCUGUUUCCCAGUUUGCUCGGAUUCGCAUCCACUGAGAAGGUGAUGCUGUCUAAUCAUGUAUGUACAGAAUGCGGUGGCUGCCGAAAGAGCGAGAUGAUAAGAAGGAAGUUUUGAUGAGACGUUGUGUGCGGAGGCAGGAGGCAUGGACAGCUUGGCAAACCAUCCAAGGCUGGAGAGAGUAAAUAAAGAUGCAGGAAGAGACCUAUAUCAGACCAGCCAGAGACCAUCUUAAACCAGGGAGGAUGUAUAAGGAUUAAAGAGUUUCAGAAAAAAAAAAAAGGACUACUGUAUAGCAUAUGGAACUAUAGUCAAUGCUUUGUAAAAACCUGUAAGGGAAAAGAUUCUGAAAAACAAUAGAUUUAUGUAUACCUAUAAGUGAAUCACUGUGCUGUAAGCUUGAAACUAACAUGACAUUGUGAAUCAACCAUGCUUCAAUACAUAAAAAUAAAUUUAAGAAAGACUGUCCACAUGCUAGAAGAGGAAGGAGUUAAUUUCAAACUAAGCACUGAAUCUCCUGAUGAGAAGCCUGAGGUUGAAAUGGUGACUGAAAAAUGUUGCAAGGUAGCCCUGGUCUUGAUCUUCAUCCAAAGCGACCUCCCUUUGAAAAGUCCCCGAGCCAGACCCGGGUAGUGUGGGCAGGGCCCUCAGGACUCCAGCUGAUGGGACCAGUGGCUUUUUAUGUGUUCAGCCUGGAGCUGCCCUGGGGGCUCCUGGUAGCUGGGGUUGAAGCCCUCCUGUCACCUGGCCCUCCCUGGAGGGAAUCUGAGUUUGGGGCAGGCUGCCUGCUGGCGUUGGUCAUCCCACGCCACAGCCAGGAGCCACUGUGUCUGUGUUUUGUGGAUCAGCAGAGCUGGCUUGAAUAUUUUGCUCAAAAAUAGCUUAACCCUCAGGUCUUCCCUGGGGGUCCAGUGGUUAAGACUCUACGCUUCCACUGUAGGGGCCAUGGGUUUGAUCCCUGGUUGGGGGGCUAAGAUCCUGCAAGCCAUGUAGCAUGGUCAAAAAAAAAAAAAAAAAGG